rnacentral:rRNA from 1 species
ACGGGAUUAGAUACCCUGGUAGUCCACGCUGUAAACGAUGUCGAUUUGGAGUUUGGGGGCAUGACCCUUGGGCUCCGGAGCUAACGCGUUAAAUCGACCGCCUGGGGAGUACGGCCGCAAGGUUAAAACUCAAAUGAAUUGACGGGGGCCCGCACAAGCGGUGGAGCAUGUGGUUUAAUUCGAUGCAACGCGAAGAACCUUACCUGGUCUUGACAUCCAUAGAAUCUUUCAGAGAUGAGAGAGUGCCUUCGGGAGCUAUGAGACAGGUGCUGCAUGGCUGUCGUCAGCUCGUGUUGUGAAAUGUUGGGUUAAGUCCCGCAACGAGCGCAACCCCUAUCCUUUGUUGCCAGCACGUAAUGGUGGGAACUCAAAGGAGACUGCCGUUGAUAAAGCGGAGGAAGGUGGGGACGACGUCAAGUCAUCAUGGCCCUUACGACCAGGGCUACACACGUGCUACAAUGGCGUAUACAAAGGGAUGCGAAGGUGCGAACUGGAGCGGACCUCACAAAGUACGUCUAAGUCCGGAUUGGAGUCUGCAACUCGACUCCAUGAAGUCGGAAUCGCUAGUAAUCGUGAAUCAGAAUGUCACGGUGAAUACGUUCCCGGGCCUUGUACACACCGCCCGUCACACCAUGGGAGUGGGUUGCACCAGAAGUAGAUAGCUUAACCUUCGGGAGGGCGUUUACCACGGUGUGGUUCAUGACUGGGGUGAAGUCGUAACAAGGUAACCA